rnacentral:rRNA from 1 species
AUACGGAGGGUCCGAGCGUUAAUCGGAAUUACUGGGCGUAAAGCGCGCGUAGGUGGUUCAGUCAGUCAGAUGUGAAAGCCCCGGGCUCAACCUGGGAACUGCACCUGAUACUGCUGAGCUAGAGUACGGUAGAGGGCAGUGGAAUUUCCGGUGUAGCGGUGAAAUGCGUAGAGAUCGGAAGGAACACCAGUGGCGAAGGCGACUGCCUGGACUGAUACUGACACUGAGGUGCGAAAGCGUGGGUAGCAAACAGGAUUAGAUACCCUGGUAGUCCACGCCGUAAACGAUGUCAACUAGCCGUUGGGGGACUUGAUCCUUUAGUGGCGAAGCUAACGCGAUAAGUUGACCGCCUGGGGAGUACGGCCGCAAGGUUAAAACUCAAAGGAAUUGACGGGG